rnacentral:lncRNA from 1 species
GACCUAGUAAGAUUCCAGUAUAAAAGACAUGCUCAAUCACCUUACAUUGAACUCUCAAGUGAUCUGACAACUUAAAUUAAACUCAACUCUAAAAGUAAUAUAAACGAAUGUUUUAAAGAGUCAAAGUGCAACAGAUAGGUAUGGGCACUAGCAAUAAAGACAGCCAUCAAAGGACACCACUUGUCUGCAUGGAAUUGUUUGAUACUUGCUUCCAACAAUCAUGUUGGCAGAGACCCACUCAAAGGCAAAAUGAUUCCCCAACUUUAAAAUAGUAGUUCAAAAGAAACCUUCAGGUCGAGAAAGAAACCUUAAACAAAGUGAGCAUGCCAGUAAAAGGUUUGACAAGAUUAAAGCCAAAGUAAGCAGCACAACCCACCUCACUGAUGCUGUUGAGCACUGGCAGGGCUGAGGGGCAUAGAACAGGGACUCCUUUUCUCCAUCCAGCAUCUGUGGCAUCCAAAGGUAUUAAAAGAUAUACCUAACCUAUAUGAUGUUCUCAUCUUCACGACAUCAGCUGUAUUUUUGUAUUAUUUCCGAUCUCCAGGAAAGGAAAAAUGUAAUUGGAGAAGAGAGGACUGCCUAUUGAGGUUUCAUGUACCCUUUUUGUUAUCCAAUUGCUCUUUUCUCUCUCCUCACAUGGUUCUCCUUUUCCUCCUUCACCUGCAUCUGGGCAGUAGAGACAUGUUAAAAUGGAUUAUUGCAACGAAGAAACUUAGAUUGCUGAACAAGUGUGUAUUUACGAGGACAUCCAUGAUACUAGGAUUUAAGUUGUGGGAAUUGUAAAGCAAUACAGCCAAGCAUCAUGAUACAUGAAAUAGUGUUUGCUGGAACUGGCCUUAUUGAGUUUUCAAAAACAAUUAAAAAUUCAAGUUCGAAGUUUGAGAAAUUCAAAAUAGCUCUGGAAAGCAGCUUAGAAAUCAUAUUUAUUGUAAUGCAGCAUUGUUGGAGACCCAAACCUCCAAUACCCUGGUGCUGCAUGAGGCGCACCUGCUCACUUGGAAUCAUCAAUUCGCUAAAGUGCAUGAACAAGGAGAUAGGGAUAGGGAUAGCAUGUCAUAUAUUUUGAAUUCUGUUAGAACCAUGUCAAAGAAUACUAUUCAACAAGGCAAUAGGGAUAGCAAUUUCUGGAAGAAAAUGAAGAUUCAAGGGAAAAAAAUACUAGAAAAUCUCUGUUAAAAAAAGCAGGAACACAAACCUUCCCACAUUCCAUCGUGUUCGCCAAAUCAACACAGGCCUUCUAUUUCAACCUGCUGCUGUUAAAUCCAGUUCAACCAAAAUAACCUGCUAAUGAAAAAAGUAAUCUUAUUCAGAUGUGAAAAUAUUACAUUCUCCUUCUAAAGUUUUGAGCGAUCAACGAGAGGCACUCGUGCAAGACGCAUCGAUGCACA